rnacentral:rRNA from 1 species
UAGAGUUUGAUCCUGGCUCAGGACGAACGCUGGCGGCGUGCCUAAUACAUGCAAGUCGAGCGAACUUGCGGGAGCUUGCUCCCAAAAGUUAGCGGCGGACGGGUGAGUAACACGUGGGUAAUCUGCCCUGCACUUCGGGAUAAGCCUGGGAAACUGGGUCUAAUACCGGAUAUUCAGCUUUCACCGCAUGGUGGGGGUUGGAAAGUUUUUCGGUGCAGGAUGAGCCCGCGGCCUAUCAGCUUGUUGGUGGGGUAAUGGCCUACCAAGGCGACGACGGGUAGCCGGCCUGAGAGGGUGAUCGGCCACACUGGGACUGAGACACGGCCCAGACUCCUACGGGAGGCAGCAGUGGGGAAUAUUGCACAAUGGGCGAAAGCCUGAUGCAGCGACGCCGCGUGGGGGAUGACGGUCUUCGGAUUGUAAACCCCUUUCAGUAGGGACGAAGCGCAAGUGACGGUACCUGCAGAAGAAGCACCGGCCAACUACGUGCCAGCAGCCGCGGUAAU